rnacentral:rRNA from 1 species
UACGUAGGGUGCGAGCGUUAAUCGGAAUUACUGGGCGUAAAGUGUGCGCAGGCGGCCGCGCAAGUCGGGUGUGAAAUCCCCGAGCUUAACUUGGGAAUUGCGCUCGAAACUACGUGGCUGGAGUGUGGCAGAGGAAGGUGGAAUUCCACGUGUAGCGGUGAAAUGCGUAGAGAUGUGGAGGAACACCGAUGGCGAAGGCAGCCUUCUGGGCCAACACUGACGCUCAUGCACGAAAGCGUGGGGAGCAAACAGG